CUGGAUAAGGCAGCCUAACACCUUGCCCGGUCAAGAAUGCGUGCUGUCCAACACUAUAUUUGGAAGAAAGAAUCAGAGGGAAGCCCAAAAGGCCCAACUGGAGUGUGACAGAAUAAAAAGGCAGACGAGGGAAAGAGAGGAGAGAGAGAGCACAGCGGCGUGCUGGAAAAUACAAGGACCCGCCUCCACACCUGACAUUUAGCCGUCCACGGUGGCCUCCAGUUCUGAACAAGGACCCGCCUCCACACCUGACAUUUAGCCGUCCACGGUGGCCUCCAGUUCUGAACAAGCGGUUCCUCAAAGACAAGAACCCGAUAUUAGCCUCAGCCGAAAGGUUGUUAACCUCCCCGGCCCCCCCCCCCCCCCCACCUGAAAUUCAGCCAUCCAUGUUGGCCCCCAGUUCUGAACAGACACCGCCCCCAAAGACAAGAACCUGAAGCCAGCUCCAUCCAGAAGCAACAAGGGGGCCCGGAGGACAGCUAAAGCGGUGCCAACCAACAAGCAACCCCCCCCUAAUGCUAGAGUUGCUGCCGCUUCCACCUCGGAAAAGGCCUCCCCUUGACCAGAUCCACAUAUUUGAGGAGGAGCAUUGCAAAGGCUGGUCAUGAACCUUGUGAGGAAGAGGAGGUUACCCGUUGCUUUCCCCUGCAAGAUAUGUGGCAAGCCUAAAAUAAAAGAAUUUGGCCACAGCCUGUAAAAACUGGGGGCCUGGGCCUCGGGUGUCAAGGACCACAGCAUGGAAGCGGAGGGUCAGAAAUAGUUCUGUAAUGUUUUAAUGUUUCAAAAAUGUAAAGUUGUGUAAUAUGUUAAUAGUAUGUUUUCUUGGUUGAUAAAUAAAGAGCUU